rnacentral:rRNA from 1 species
GACGGAGGAUGCAAGCGUUAUCCGGAAUCAUUGGGCGUAAAGCGUACGGAGGCGGCUUAUCAAGUCUGGGGUCGAAGACCACAGCUUAACUGUGGAAAGGCCGUGGAAACUAGUGAGCUGGAGUGAGGUAGGGGUUGCGGGAAUUCACGGUGUAGCGGUGAAAUGCGUAGAUAUCGGGAAGAACACCUGAGGCGAAAGCGCGCGACUGGGCCUUAACUGACGCUGAGGUACGAAAGCUAGGGGAGCGAAUGGG